GACGAACGCUGGCGGCGUGCUUAACACAUGCAAGUCGAGCGGAGCGGCGAACGGGUGAGUAACGCGUGAGUAACUGCCCCCCUCUCUGGGAUAACAGUUGGAAACGGCUGCUAAUACCGGAUAGUGGGGGCUGACUCGCGUCCUAUCAGCUUGUUGGUGGGGUAGUGGCCUACCAAGGCGACGACGGGUAGCCGGCCUGAGAGGGCGACCGGCCACAUUGGGCUGAGAUACGGCCCAAACGCCUACGGGAGGCAGCAGUGGGGAAUAUUGCACAAUGGGGGAAACCCUGAUGCAGCAACGCGCGGGCGGGAUGACGGCCUUCGGGUUGUAAACCUUUUUCGCUCAUGGUCGGGUAGUGGGUAAAGAAGCGCCGGCUAACUACGUGCCAGCAGCCGCGGUAAUAC
rnacentral:rRNA from 1 species